rnacentral:lncRNA from 1 species
CGUAAGCUGAAUAUGGGGGUGGGGUGGGGGUGGGCACAGCACAAGUGGACAUGCCUUUCAGGCCCAGGAUGGCGCAUGCAAAGGCCCAGAGGCAGAAACAUGUUUGGUAUGUUGAAGAGCAGAACAAAGACAAGCAUGGCAGGAGGGCAGGAGCUAAAGCAGUGGUGUGGAAGGAGGCCAAGAGGCAAGGAUUGUUUGUGGCCAGGGUUGGGUGUUUGGGUCUUAAGUGUUCAGGAAAACCAUUGCAGAAUCAGGCAGAAGGAUGCAGUGAUGGUUCCUCCCAUGUGGAAGAUGAAUGUAGAUCCCAUGGCUUCUGUUUGCUUCGUGAAGUAGGAGAGAAAAUCUGGGAGAGAGAGGGUCAGGAUAAAGUGUAUAAAAAAAGGGGUCUUUUGAAAUAGUCAUUUUGGACAGUGGGGGAAAGGAACAUCAUAUUAAAAAGUGUGAUCAGUUUCCAGGCAGUUUGUGGGCUGGAAAAUUGUGAUUGUGAAGUUAAAGUGAGGCCAGUUAGCAUGGCGUGUGUUUCCCAGCGACACUGUGGGUGUAGACCUAAGGUCAGCGGACAGCUGGUGCCACCCGGCCAUGGAGACCCCAGCAAGCACAGCAGGAGGGGCAGCGUGUCAGUGCCCCGAUGCAGCUCAGGGGGUGCAGGAGUGGAGAGCGGGUGAAGUCAGCUGCAGGAGGGGUGGUGCCUACAGGAGAUUCGGGAGCCGGAGCAGUUGUGGUGACAGUGUGGCUGCAGGAGUGGUGGCAGGGGUCGGGGAGAGGAGGUCAUGGGGGUGGCAGGGUCGAGGGGCUGAGAGGACCAUCAGUCAGCCUCACAGGGCGAAGUCACCGUGAGUGGUGAUGGGGAGGAAGCCAGUGAGCCAAGGGUCCUCUGUGAAUCAGGGAGUGACCUGGCAGUUGACAGGUGACAUGAGGACAUGGCAGAUUAAAGUGAUCUGAACUUGAGUUACGGUAUUUAGGGAAGGAAGAGAAACAGUGUGGAAGCAGCGUGGGAGCACAGGGAGCUUCCUCUUGUCCGGGCCGGAGGCCAAGCCCUGAGAGCAGCCAUCCCUGCAGAGGGGCUGCCAGAGAGGGCCUCGGGCAGGCAGCCAGAGCCAGUCAGGGCAAGGCCGGGGAAGGGAGGGUACCACGGGGCAUCACAAAAGACGCGGGACGGACAAACCAGGCUUCAGAGGGGAGGGGACGGUGGCUAGGGGAAAAAGGCCUGAACAGAGGAGGUAGCCAACCCAGGUACGCUAGGAGGCGGGGGCCCCAGAGUACUCCCCUCUGCAGCGAUGGUCAGGAGGCCCACGAGGUGGCUGCGGGGCAGGGGGGCUUUUUCUCUGCCCUGGCGUGGCCAUUAGCGGGUGGGAGAAGCAGGCUGAGCUGGGGCACCAGGCAUGAAGACUCGGUUGUCUGGCUCAGCUGCUGAUGGAGGAGUGCCCCAGAAGCAGAAGUGGGGCUGAGGGUCCCGUGGGAAGUGCCCUGUGGAGCACAGGCUCCUGCCCGGCUCCUCGCUUGCCUCCGCCCUCUGCUCACUGGCUAGCUCUCUGUUCUCUUCAUUCCAGGCACCGCCACCCCCACCUUUGGUCUGAACACCCCUGCGCCUGGAGUGGGCACAUCAGGCAGCAGCCUCUCCUUUGGGGCAUCCUCAGCACCCGCCCAAGGCUUUGUUGGUGUUGCACCUUUCGGAUCGGCGGCCCCUUCAUUUUCCAUUGGUGCGGGAUCCAAGACCCUAGGGGCUCGACAGCGACUGCAGGCCCGAAGGCAGCACACCCGCAAAAAGUAGCCUUUGUCCCCUGUCCCUGUUCCCCCCACCCCUUCCCUAAAUCUGGACCUUGGCACGUGCUAGAAAGAGCCUUGGACCCUUCCAGCUGCGUAAAGCAAACCUACCCCGGAUCUCUGGCUUCAGCCGCCAGGGGGCAGUGGCAGCCCUGGGGCCCUUUCCCUUCUGGAGGAAGCACAAGCCUCAGGGAAGGGGAAGCAGGAUGCGGAGGGCCAAAGCCCGGGACCUCUACUUGAACAGUUCCACUGGGGAGGCUGGAGAACUAAGGAAACACCUGUACAUAGUGUCCGCUACCCUGACUCCCGCUUAGCGCACCCUUAGGCAGGCGCCCCUUCCACCUUUCCCCGAGAGCCGUCGUCGCUGGAGGGGGCAGGGUCCAGCCCGCCUGGAUCGGUGGUGUGCACCUGAUGGGAUUUGGGAAAUGGGCUAUCCGUAAAGCUUUAUCUUGCUUGGCUUAGCUGUGAGAAGUGGUUCUCUUCCUCUGGUCCCUUCUGGGGACUCUGUUUCCCCAUUUCUUGCUGCUGUGUCCCUCACCGGUUCCUUGCAGGAUUCCCUCCUUUUUAAAUGCCCUUGAAUCUAGCUUUGCCUUGGAGACCCCAGUGGGUGCUGCUCCUGCCAUUUUCUUCCUGCCAAGCCUGAAUCAAUGUUUCAUCUCCAACCCUCUGCCAGUUUGGCCCCUCAGAGCUUGGUGGCUCAAGACUGUUAGCCUGGCAGAGCCAGGGGUGAAGGGAGAAGCUCUUGGAGCAGGCAGGAUGCCCACCGCUGCUUCAGCUGCCUCCUCGCCCAGCUACCCUUUGGCCCCAUUGGGCCCUCGUCUGCCUCUCCAGGAUUGUAUGUUUCAAGCCUUGCCCUGUGUUCCUUUGUCUGACGCUCUGUGUAUUGCUCUUUGAAUCGAGUUUGGAGGAAGAGUUGAGUUGUAUGAGUGGCGGCAUGUUGGUAGUGCCGGACUUCCUGUUUCAAGUUUUCUGGGGCCUCGCUAAUUGAAUGUGGAAAGUAGCACCACUUGACGGCUACAAGUGCCGACUCCUGAAUUUUCCCAUGGUGUUCUGACUUCAAGGGCUGGCAGCCAGGGAGAAUGGGCCCAGGGGAAGCAAAGACCUCUUCCCUCUGCCGUUUCUGUCCCACUUAACUGACCUCACUGGAGGCUACAUCACCCAAAGUAGAUGUUAGAAAACCUAAAUUAAUGAACCAUAUUUUUAAAAUCCUAUUUUUCCCAAACAGGGCCCUCUGCAGCCCAGCCUUUCCUUCCGUCCUUCUGAAACCACAUACCCCAGGCCCAAGCGCCUUGCUGCCACGCCCAACCUCUUUGGGAGAAGUAUGAAUGCGUGUGUCUAAAUUAAAAGAAAAAAAUAUUUAAACGUUUUUUAACAAAAAUUUAUUUUUGUAUUUAAGCUAAAUUGCCUUUUAAAUUCCUUCAAGCUUGGUUCAUUGAGGUGGUUAAGUAUAAAUGCUAUUAACUAGGAAUUAGCUGUAUAGUUAAGUUAUGCCUGUGCAAAGAAGAGGCUCAAAUGCUGUCCCCGGCAGCUUUCCUGGGGGACUAGAGCUCCUUCUGGCCAUGUUAUAUGAAAUGUAAUUCUUAUUUUAUAAAUAAUGUGAUGUAAAUGUAACUGGUGCCCCCUCCCCGAUGUGACUGAGGGUGAGU